rnacentral:rRNA from 1 species
AUGCAUCUGGGCCAGGAGUUUCGGGCGUGUGUGCGCGGCGACCUCACCGUCCACGAGUACUGCCGCCGGCUGCAAGGCAUCGCGGCCGCCCUCGCCCACGUCCGUGAGCCCGUCACAGAUCGCACCCUCACCUUGCAGAUGCUCGAUGGGCUGGGGACCAAGUUCGCGAUGCAGUCGGCGAUCCUCCAGUCCACCGUGCCCCUGCCCACCUUCAACCAGGCGCGCGCCCGUCUUGUCCUCGCCGAACUAUCCAUGGACAAACAUGUCCGCGCUGAGGGGGCUCAGGUCCUCGCGGUGCAGCAUGAUGACCGCGGCCCCUCCGGUGAACGUGGUGGUGCGCGCGGUGGCGACCGCGGCGACCGGGGAGGAGAUCGCGCCCCUGCUGGCGGUGGUGGUGGCCAUGGUGGCCAGCUCGGCGAAAACCGCAGCCAGCGCGGUGGGCGCGGACGCGGCCGCGGCCGUGGGCGUGGUGAUGCCCCUGCUGGACGUGGAGCGGGUGCUCAGCCGUGGCUAGGCUACUUCGCGUCGAUGGGCGCACCCUUCCCUCCGCCACGCAGCCCGUGGAUUCGCCGAACUCCGCCGGCGUCCUCGGCCCCCGCCCCGGUGCGCCCACACAGGCCUACCCGCUGCUGUACGCGCCCACUCCGGCCCCUCCAGGCCCUGUCUACGGCGCACCUCCAACCAGCUGGGACGCCGCGGCCAUGUACCACGCCGCCCCCAGCUAUGGCACCGCCUUCCACCCCAACGCCGAGUGGAUCAUGGACACGGAGGCUGCAUCCCACGUCACCGGAGAUCUAG